UGAGGAAUAUUGGUCAAUGGAGGCAACUCUGAACCAGCCACGUCGCGUGAAGGAAGACGGCCCUACGGGUUGUAAACUUCUUUUGUAAGGGAAUAAAGUGCAGUACGUGUACUGUUUUGCAUGUACCUUACGAAUAAGGAUCGGCUAACUCCGUGCCAGCAGCCGCGGUAAUACGGAGGAUCCGAGCGUUAUCCGGAUUUAUUGGGUUUAAAGGGUGCGCAGGCGGGGGAUGAGGUCGGCGGUGAAAUAUCAGGGCUCAACCUUGAGAGUGCCGUCGAAACCGGUUUUCUUGAGUGCGGAUGAAGUAGGCGGAAUUUGUGGUGUAGCGGUGAAAUGCGUAGAUAUCACAAGGAACACCGAUUGCGGAGGCAGCUUACUAAACCGCAACUGACGCUCAUGCACGAAGGCGUGGGGAUCAAACAGG
rnacentral:rRNA from 1 species